UGAGGAAUAUUGGUCAAUGGGGGAAGCCCAUGACUGCAGCAACGCCGCGUGAAGGAAGACGGUUUUCGGAUUGUAAACUUCUGUUCUUAGUGAAGAAUAAUGACGGUAGCUAAGGAACAAGCCACGGCUAACUACGUGCCAGCAGCCGCGGUAAUACGUAGGUGGCAAGCGUUGUCCGGAAUUACUGGGUGUAAAGGGAGCGCAGGCGGGAGACCAAGUCAGCUGUGAAAACUACGGGCUUAACCUGUAGACUGCAGUUGAAACUGGUUUUCUUGAGUGAAGUAGAGGUUGGCGGAAUUCCGAGUGUAGCGGUGAAAUGCGUAGAUAUUCGGAGGAACACCGGUGGCGAAGGCGGCCAACUGGGCUUUAACUGACGCUGAGGCUCGAAAGUGUGGGGAGCAAACAGGAUUAGAUACC
rnacentral:rRNA from 1 species